AUGAACGUCGCACCAUAUCCGGGGCCGCCGCCCCAACAUAGAGUCAGACCGCCCCCUCUGGGGCGCAUCGACCGAGCCGACACCCCCAUCGCACAAGCGGACAAGGAAGCCACCCAACCAAUGUCGAGAAUGCCCCACCUCAUAGAGCUGCCACUCGCAUUGUUUCCGAGAUCGCCAUCUCGGCGCACAAACAAAAACCACUCGGAGCCGCCGCCCCGACGUCCACUGUCCCCGCCGACGAAGAGAUCCGUGCAAACCGCAAUAUGCUGA
rnacentral:rRNA from 1 species